rnacentral:rRNA from 1 species
CAGGUAGGACUACCCGCUGGAUAA